AAAUUUAUAUUAUGAAAACAAAUAAAUUGUAUUUGUGAACUUAAUAAUGUUUUUGUUUUAUUGUUUGCUCCAUCAGUAUUUAUGAUACUAGUAUAACUUUUAAUUGUAAGCAUGCUUCAUAUCUUGACUUUCAUCUGGAAAGUGACCAUGAGGAUCGGAAGAAAACAAAACUUUACAACACAAGAGAUGAUUUCAGCUUCCCAAUUGUGAACUGUUCAUUUCUAUGUAGCAACAUUCCAACUAUGCCUGCAUACGGAGUAUAUAUUUCCC
rnacentral:lncRNA from 1 species